CCUACGGGGAGCAGCAGUGGGGAAUAUUGGACAAUGGGCGAAAGCCUGAUCCAGCCAUGCCGCGUGUGUGAAGAAGGCCUUCGGGUUGUAAAGCACUUUCAGUGGGGAAGAAAGCCUUGGGGCUAAUACCCUCGAGGAAGGACAUCACCCACAGAAGAAGCACCGGCUAACUCCGUGCCAGCAGCCGCGGUAAUACGGAGGGUGCGAGCGUUAAUCGGAAUUACUGGGCGUAAAGCGCGCGUAGGCGGUCUGAUAAGCCGGUUGUGAAAGCCCCGGGCUCAACCUGGGAACGGCAUCCGGAACUGUCAGGCUAGAGUGCAGGAGAGGAAGGUAGAAUUCCCGGUGUAGCGGUGAAAUGCGUAGAGAUCGGGAGGAAUACCAGUGGCGAAGGCGGUCUUCUGGACUGACACUGACGCUGAGGUGCGAAAGCGUGGGUAGCAAACAGGAUUAGAUACCCCUGUAGUC
rnacentral:rRNA from 1 species